AACAACUCAUGAAGUUUAUUCACUUGAGGAAAAAAAGGGGGGAAAGGGGUGAGUAAAGAAUACUCAAUGAGGGGAAUCAACUCUGCCCACUGAAACAUAGAACAUUUUCUUAAGCUAUACAACCAUCAUCAUAACAUAUAAACUUAGACACUAGCAAUCACAUAACUUACCUUACUUACUAAACAUUCAUAACAUUCAUCUUAACCAUACAUACAUCGUUAGGUCCAGUCAUCCUCGUGAUGACCAGAACCUCCUGAGUGAAGGGUGGCCCUCGUGGCUCAGACACUCCCAUUCCGGGCUCGUCAGCCGUUCUUGACCAGCUGUUAACCCGUCGGUCCAUCACUGUCCAUCAUUCAUACAUACUCAUAAUCAUACUUAACAUUCUCAUACAUAACAUCACUUUAAUAAACAUCAUACUAACACAUAUCAAACUCAACAAUCAUCAAGUCAUAUCAUCACAUAAUCUUAUCCUAUACAAUCAGAUCUAAGCCUACAUAUCAUGCGUCAAGAAGCAUAACAAAAGAAACGACACUAUGCUUCGCAAAUACCACCCUCACCUUGGUCACUUGAUGAUAACAACUCACUUCUCCUUUCUUCUCCUUUAGACCAAUUUAGUACAAGGCUUUCAUUGCUCACUCUUGGGAUCCAUCUUGGCUCUCCUUCAACAAAUACUUAAGCACAAAAUUCAUGAAGCCUCCUGCAAGGUCUCAGCUCAAACCGAGCUCAUUUACCCAACCAACAACACAAACUCGUCACAAUUUACUUCAUACAAAACUGUCUCGGAAACAUACUUAUAAGUCGAGAACUAACCGUUAAAAAUUAAAUCCCACCGUUGAUUAUCUAGCCUACAAUACCAUGAACAACUCCACAAAGUUUCAGCUCGAUCGGACAUCGUUACAACCUGAUACUAGGAUUUUACUAUCAAUUACCCUAAUAUACUUUCAUGUCAUUGCAGUAUAAGAGGUUAUCAAUCCAAUCAGGUGCUCUUACUAUCAAUCAAGAUAUGCUCAGAGAUAACUAAGUCAAGCCAAGCAGAAUAUUGUUUUGUUAUCUAGCAAUACUAAGCGAUCAUGCAUAAGCGAUAAAACUACAGAACAGGAGUGAUCAUGCAUAAAGAGAAAGAACUAUCAAUACUAAGCAGCAAUAAGUAACAGGUAAGCAACAGGUAAAGAGAUAAGCAAUCAAAUGAGAUAAAAGGUCCUGAGGAUAGGGUAAUCGAUUAUAGCAGUCUCCUUAAUCUACUUAGGUGGUUAACAAUCCAAACAGGCUAUCCCUAGACAAUAGAUUCAACUACAGAUCAAUCCACUCUCGUGACAGAGAUCCUCAAGCAAUACCAGUUCCAGACCUAAUCAUCAUUAGCGAAAUCUAGCAAAGCAGGCAAUAAGAUUCAAUCUAAUAUAGUCAAUAAACAUUCUAAACAUCCAAUCUCUUGGGCUAGAGUAUGUAAAUCUCUGGAGUAGUUGGUUCAGACAUUUCAUCGAACACCUGGUGGGUGUGGAAAUGUCUAGGUUCAAAUCCCAGUUGAUCAGAAAGGAAUAAGCACUAAGUACUACUAAUCCAGAAGGGAUUCAAGCAAUUCUACACUUAACCACCUAAAUAAACUAAGGAUUCCACACCUAAUCUAUCCCAUCCUCAAGAACCCUAAUCCACUACUCAGACAUGCUCAAGAACACAAACCCAGAAAAUUGCACAAACCCAGAAAUCAUUGAAAAUCAAGUAUGUUAUAGAUGAGACAGAGAUCUACAACUUUGAAGAAGAAAGUAAUCGCAAAAACUCAAAGGAUCAAAAGUAAUUUGGAUUACAAAAGUUUGCAGAAAUAUUGUUCAGAGGAUAAAAGCGAGAUCCUUUGGGCAAAGCCCUAAGAGGUCUAUUUAUAGCAAAAGUAGAAAACCCUAGUACACAAAACGACAAAAUAGAAAGUCGGUUUAGGGUCUACUCGAGCUAGUACUCGAGUGGCUUGGUCGAGUAGUCCAUUCUUCAAAGGUUGCAUCUUGCUCGGGUAAGUCUCUCAGGUCCAGUUCGAGUAGCCUGUUCGAGUAGGUUGGUCGAGUAUGUCUUGGUCUUCUCUUCAGAAAUCUGCUCGAGUACACUGCUCUGGCUCUGCUCGAGUACACUGCUCGAGUACACUACUCUGGAACUGCUCUGGCACUGCUCUUGCACUGCUCGAGUACACUGCUCUGGCACUGCUCCUUAGUACCUGAAUGUACCAGAUACAACUCCAAAAUGCAAGAAUGCAUGCUAUGCUAAUGUAGAAUACUCUAAGUAUGCAAAGUGAUGCAAAAUGACUACAAAUGACAGUAAAUAAGAGUGAAUACUAAGCUAAAUGCAUAGCAAAUGUAUGCUAAAAAGAGGUAAAAUACAGAGAUAUCAACUCCCCCAAACUUAGCUUUUGUUUGCCCUCAAGCAAACAAAUAGAACUAAGCUGGAGAAGAGGUUUGAAGGUGGGGAUUCAGAACCAAAACAUGCAUAUAGAGUAAGUGAAUUCAAUGUCCAGGUUGCUAAUUCUAGAAUGCAAGGUUGAUUGAUCUCUACUUAAAAACUUUAGCCAUCUCCUUCACAUCUUAGCCUAACUUCUGCUUUAAUCAAUUCAAGCAUUCACAUCAGCACAUUCCUUUUAACAUUGAUUAUGUGAGAACUCAUUUGGUUUAAGGGUAGAGGUCAAGAGACAAAGAUGGUCCCUUAAAGAUCUGGUUUAAAUCGUAACAGGGGAUCUCUCAAGAAUGAUUGAGCUUUAGUAGAAUGCUAAAGGUGAGUUCCAAGUUAUGCAUACAAGGAUAAGACCCCAUCUACCCAGAAUGUAAUCAAUAUCAAUCCAAAUGGAAGUCCUAUUUCUAAUCCCAGAACAUGAACUUAACUCUACCCUUUUGCAUUCAAAGCAUUUCCAGACUCUUACUCAAAUCAUUCUCUUCUUUUCCUUGCUUUCUAUCUUAGGAGAAGCUUUCUUUUUCUUUGCUCUGUCUAGCGGAUUAGGAUUUCUUUAACAACUAGGGUUCCUUUUUCUUUCUUCUUAUAACACAAGGCUUUUUGGCCUUUCUCUUUAAGCUAUUACAAAACCCUUUUCUUUACUUUAACACUCCCAAAUCUUUUACUAGACUUUAUUUUACUUUAGCUAUUUCUCCUAAGGACUCAUUUCCCUUUUCUUUUCUUUCAGUGAUGAACACAACCUUAUCUUUCUUUUAAGCACAACCCAAACCCAGAAUUAAGCACCCACCUAGUCCUAUCUAGUCCAGAUAACGUGAACUAGAACUACAUGAGAUACUAUCCUUGUCGGUACAGACCUAACACUUUCUACCAAGCUCAAUCGAAAUAAGGCCUCACAGUCACACACAAAUGAUAAAUGGCUUGAAAGAAGGUUAAGGUUUAGGGUAGGGAAUAACUGCUCCAAAGAUGGGAGUCAGCUACUUGGACUAGCAAGAGGGAUCAAAAGGUAAAAGAAAGUCCAAGUAUUUUAAGGUAACCAUGAGUUCAUAACACAAUGCACAGUAUGAUAAUUGCAAGUCAAAAUUUAGGUUCAAAUUGAUAGGGAAAGGCAUCAGAUCAAAGCGAGUUUCAACUAAGAACAAGAAAAUCAAGCGUUGAAUUCAAAAGAUGGUGCGGUCUUACUUCAAGUUCAAUCGAUUAUGCAUUAGGGAACUAACAACCUGGGCACUGAGUUCUACUUAGUGAAUAAGCAUAUUUACAAGGUUAUAAUCAUCAUAAUCUCCAAUGCAAAUGCAUGAUGCAACAGCCCUAAGUGAAAGCAUACUAAAACAAUCCUAAAAUGACAAUGCAAGCUAUAUGAACACUCUGUUUUUGUGAAACAAUUUUCGAAAAUUUUCAAAUUUUUAUGGUUUUUCUAUGCCUUAGAUGCAAUGAUGCAAAAUUUGAAAUAAGAGCAAAACAAACGAUGUCAAAUACUCCCUGAGCCCUCCCCCAAACUUAAAUUACACAGUCCUCUGUGUAACAAAAGCUUGGAAGAGAGUACUCAGGGCAAACCAACAGAGAAACAAAAUGAAAGAUGGUAUAAACAAUGGUGUAGUGGAGUCCUUACCUGGCCUAGGUGAAGAAAGCAGAGACAUAGUCAUCCAUGCUCUCACUCGUGUAGCUCCAAGGUACUAGCUGGGAUGAGCUCGGAACAGUGUGAUCUGGUUGUUACUCUGGUUGCUCGAAUUGGUGCUCUGGUUGCUGCUCGAGUGGCUUGUUCGAGUACAGUACUCGAGUACUAUACCGUUUCUGUAGAAAAAUUUUCCUGAGCUUUUCCUAAACCAAAACCUUCCUCUUUUUGCCUGUAAAUCAAAAAUACUAAAGAAACACAUUAAAAAUAACAAGAAAUAAAACCAUAUUUACAGAGAUAAACAUGGGAUUUCCUCCCAAGUGAGCUUGUUUAAAGUCUUUAGCUUGACUUUUCUUACUCCCUUUUUAAAUGCUGAGAGGUUCCUGAAGAUGAACUGUUGCUCCUUCAGGAAUGAUACUGUCUGCAAGAUACUUCUUGACUCUUUGGCCAUUCACUCUGAACUCUGAACCAUCCUUAGCAAACAGUGAUACUGUACCAAAUGGUAGAACUUCUUUGAUAGUGAAAGGACCGGACCAUCUCGAUUUGAGCUUUCCGGGAAAUAGCUUCAGUCUGGAGUUGAAUAGUAAGACUUGGUCUCCAGCCUUGAAGUCUUUAGGUGAAAUCUUUUUAUCGUGAAAGGCUUUUGUCCUCUCCUUGUACACCUUCGAACUUUCAUAAGCUUCCAGCCUUCUUUCUUCAAGUUCGUGCAGAUCAACCGAUCUCUUCUCUUGAGCUUCUUUUAUAUCUAGAUUCAGCAACUUGGUAGCCCAGAUGGCCUUAUACUCAACUUCAACCGGAAGGUGACAUGACUUCCCGUACAGCAUCUGGAAUGGAGUCCUUCCUAUUGGUGUUUUGUAAGCAGUCCGGUAAGCCCAAAGCGUAUCGUCCAACUUGGUAGACCAAUCUCUCUUUGAAACACCAACAACCCUUGCAAGUAUGGCUUUGAUCUGUCGGUUGGAUACUUCUACUUGCCCGCUGGUCUGAGGAUGAUAAGGAGUAGCCACCUUAUGCUUCACACCAUGCUUCUUUAACAAGCUCUCAAAGACCUUAUUGAUGAAAUGAGAGCCACCAUCACUGAUCACUGCUUUAGGUAUACCAAAUCUGGGGAAUAUGAUGCUCUUGAACAGCUUCAAGACAACCUUAUGAUCAUUAGUUGGAGAAGCAAUGGCCUCAACCCAUUUGGAGACGUAGUCCACAGCAACUAAGAUGUACUUAUUCCCGUGAGAAGAAGGAUUAAAAGGACCCAUGAAGUCAAUUCCCCAAACGUCGAAGACUUCAACUUCCAAGAUCGGGUUCUGUGGCAUUUCGUUCUUCCUAGUUAUAUUUCCCAUUCUCUGGCAGGGAUCACAUUUGGCAAUGAAUCCAUGUGCAUCUUUAAACAUGGAAGGCCACCAAAGGCCGGCUUGGAGAACCUUCUGUACUGUCUUGAAGGUAGCAAAGUGACCGCCAUAAGCAGAACCAUGACAGUGUUCCAGCACUCCUUGAACUUCCUCUUCAGCAAUACACCUUCUAAAUAGGCCAUCAGUACCCUUCUUAUACAAAUAAGGUUCAUCCCAGUAGUAAUGGUUGAUGUCUCUAAAGAACUUCUUCUUCUGGUAAGCAUGAAGGUAUUUGGGGAUUUCUCCACAUAUAAGGUAAUUCACAAGGUCAGCAUACCAUGGAAGCUCUUCUUCCUUGACCGCACAUGCUACUUCGAUUUCCUUCUUGUUGUACACUAUUUCGUAACUCUUGAUGGCUAACAGCUGCUCUUCAGGCAUUGAAUCGUCAAUAGGGAUUUCAUCUUCAAUCCGCAUUCUGGACAAGUGAUCAGCUACUCCGUUCUCUAUACCCUUCUUAUCAACAAUCUCCAUAUCAAACUCCUGAAGUAACAAAAUCCAUCUCAGUAGUCUAGGCUUGGUAUCCUUCUUAGCAUAGAUGUGUCUCAACGCUGCAUGAUCUGUGUAGACUAUCACUUUAGAACCUACCAGGUAGCUUCUAAACUUCUCAAAUGCAAAGACUACAGCCAGCAACUCUUUCUCUGUUGUAGCAUAUCUCCCUUGAGCAUCGUCUAACGUCCUACUCGCAUAGUAAAUGACAUGCAACUUCUUAUCUAUCUUCUGACCCAACACAGCUCCAACUGCAUAGUCUGAAGCAUCACACAUGAUCUCAAAAGGAUGAUCCCAGUUUGGUGCUUGGACGAUUGGAGCAGAUACUAAAGCUUCUUUAAUCUGGUGGAAAGCUCUCAUACACUCUUCAUCAAAGACGAAUUCGGUCUCCUUGCAGAGAAGUCGGGUAAGUGGUCUGGCAAUCUUUGAGAAGUCCUUGAUAAAUCUCCUGUAGAAACCAGCAUGACCCAAAAAGCUUCUGAUAUCCUUGACAGUUUCCGGAGGCUGCAACUGUACCAUAACGUCUAUCUUGGCUUUAUCAACCUCAAUCCCUUUCUCUGAUAUCUUGUGUCCCAGUACUAUACCCUCUCUGACCAUGAAAUGGCACUUCUCCCAGUUUAGCACUAGAUUGGUUUCCUCACACCUUGUCAGAACCCUGCAUAGAUUUAACAAACAAGAGGAGAAGGAGGAGCCAUAGACUGAGAAAUCGUCCAUAAAGACUUCCACCGUCUCCUCAAUUAAAUCCGAGAAUAUUGAAGUCAUACACCUCUGAAAUGUAGCAGGUGCAUUACAUAAUCCAAAAGGCAUUCUUCUAUAUGCAAAAGUUCCAUAAGGGCAAGUAAAAGUGGUUUUCUCUUGAUCAUUAGGGUGAAUUGGUAUUUGAAAGAAACCACUAUAUCCAUCAAGAAAGCAGUAGUAUGGGUGAUUAGCUAGCCUUUCUAGCAUUUGAUCAAUAAACGGUAAAGGAAAGUGAUCUUUUCUAGAUGCAGCAUUUAGCUUUCUAUAAUCAAUGCACAUUCUAUGUCCUGUUAUAGUUCUAGUAGGAAUCAAUUCAUCUUUAUCAUUUUUUAUAACAGUCAUUCCACCCUUCUUAGGUACACAGUGAACCGGAGAUACCCAAGUGCUAUCUGAAAUAGGGUAGAUUACACCCGCUUCCAAUAGUUUAAGUAUCUCCUUCUUAACUACUUCUUUAAGAUUAGGAUUCAAUCUUCUUUGUGGUUCAAUGCUAGAGUAAGAUUCAUUUUCAAGAUGGAUCCUAUGCAUGCACAAACUAGGUGAGAUUCCUUUAAUAUCAGACAGAGAAUAACCAAUUGCUCUCCUAUACUUUCUAAGUUCAUUCAAUAGCAAAUGCACCUCAUCAUUAUUCAAAUUAGCAUUAAUGAUCACAGGGUAGGUAGAGUUUGUUCCAAGGAAUGCGUACCUUAGACCUUGAGGGAGCGGUUUAAGAUCAACUUUCGGAGCUUUAUGUUCAGACCAGUCGUCUGAUGCACAAGUUGAUGGUAUACUCGAGUGUGUGUUUUCGGCCUCCUCAGAUGGUCUGCUCGAGUUGCUACUCGAGUAGUGUGCUCGAGUAGUUGCUGAAUCGUCCUCAGUUACUGCCAAAACCUCUGUUGGAGACACAAUCAGCUCUUCAAAGUACUCUGGACCUUCUACUUCUUUAUGUGAGUCUAAAAGCUUCUUAUAUCCCAAGGUCUCCAAGUGCAAAUAUCCGUCUUCUCCGUCUUUGGUUAAAGCACUCUGUAAGUGAUCUUCUUCAGAAAGCUCUUCCAACAAUUCGUCGGCUAAUCUAUCCAUCUCUUCAAUCCAGAAGACUUGUCCGUCUAUGGUGGGUUUCUUCAUUGUUUUAGUGAUGUCGAAUGUCAUCUUUAAGUCUUCUCCGAGGUUUAAGUCGAUCUUACCUCUCCUGACAUCAAUGAGAGCCCCAGCAGUUGCUAAGAAAGGUCUCCCUAGUAUAAGAGGAUCCUUUGGCUCUUCAUCCAUUUCUAGAACAACAAAGUCUGUAGGGAUCUCUACCCUUCCAAUUCUUACAGGUAGAUCCUCUAACAUACCAUGAGGGACUCUUACGGAUCUGUCGGCUAAGAUUAGUUGGAUAUGGCAGGACUUGUACUUGUUGAAUCCAAGUCUUCUUGCUACUGAGAGUGGCAUCAAACUGACAGAUGCUCCUAGAUCACAUAGGCAUUUGUUGAAGAACAAAGGGCCUAGUGAACAGGGUAGAGUAAAUGAGCCGGGAUCCCCAAGCUUCUUUGGUAUGAUCUUCUUCUGUAUGAUAGCACUGCAUUCAUGGCUCAACACAACCAUUCCUUGUACUUCCUGAAUUCUCUCCAUUACCAUGUCUUUCAAGAACUUGUGAGAAUCUGGAAUUAACAUGAAAGCAUCAAUGAGAGGCAUCCUUACUUCAAGUUCUUUGAUGUGUUUAGCAAACAUGGCUCUGUACUUCUCAUUGAUGUCCCUCUUGAAUCUUCCUGGGAAUGGUAUUGACUCUUAGCUUGAUCCCUAGGUACAGCAUCUUGGUCAAGCUUAGUGGUGUCUUCUACUUGAGUUUCAUUCUGAAUAGAAUCCUCCCCUUCUUGAAUCUCACUGUCCUCAGUGAUAGGAGCUUGGUUAGGACGAGCACGCAGCUCUCGACCACUGCGGAGUUGAAUAGCAUGAGCAUACUCCUUCAGAUUCUGAAUAGCUUUCCCGGGUAGUUGUCUGGGAUGUGUAGGGGCAGAAGUAGAAGCAGCUUGGCUCUCUAUGUACUUCACCUUGGAGUUUAGAGCCUCAAUCUUGACAUGUAGAUCAUUGUAGGAGCAGUCAACUUUGUUUUGAAUCUCAGCCAUCUUCUUAUCACCAGCUGCUUGACCGUGUAGAAUCUGCUGAAGCAUUUGCUUCAUGUCUUGAUCUUGUGCAGGUGGAGCUUGUUGGGGUUGCUGUGCAAAACCGGGUGGUGGAUUAUAUUGUUGAUAACCGCCACUAAACUGCUGCUUUGGGACAAAGCCUUGAUUGUAUGGUAUGAAUGGCUUGGACUGGUUCUGUUGUUGCUGAGGGUAAACCUGAUCUUGAGGGUUUGCAACAUUCGUGCUCCGGUAAGAUAGAUUAGGAUGAGCAGGCUUGUAGGGGUUUUAGCCCUUGUUGUAGCCACCUUGAUUCUGAACGUAGCUGACUUCUGCAGCCUGAGUGUUCUCCCCUUCUUGGAUUUGAUAGUGCUCUUCUUCAGUGAUAUAGUGGACUGGUUUCUGGUUAGUAAGCAGAAAUUUAUCCAGCUUGUCGUUGAGAGCCUGAACCAUCUCCUUAGUAUGCUUUGCAUCCGGAUCUCCAAUACCUCUGUUGGAGCGAUCAAAAUCCUCGUUAUAGUUACCAUCAGAUAGAGCUAAGUUCUCUAUCAAUUCCCAGCCUUCCUCAACAUCCUUAUUCAAGAAAUUCCCAUUAGAGGCAGUGUCUAGCAACAUUCUGAUCUUGGGCAAAACUCCCCUGUAGAGUGUGCUGAGUAGUGAAGCCUUCUUGAAACCAUGGUGUGGACACUGUAUAGUGUAGCCUUUGAAUCUCUCCCAGGCCUCACAAAUGGAUUCAGACUGCUUUUGAGUAAAACUGGAGAUUUCAUUUCGUAGACGUGCAGUUCUUGAAUUGGAGAAGAACUUUGUUAAGAAAGCCUUCUUGCAAUCGUCCCAAGAUGUGAUGGAGCCAGCAGGUAGUGUCUUCUCCCAGUGGUGUGCUUUGUCUCCCAGCGAGAAGGGAAACAGACGUAGCUUGAAGCUGUCUUCACUAACACCAUUGAUUUUGGUGAGGCUGCAGAGCCUAUCAAAAUUAUCCAAGUGAUCCAAGGGAUCUUCCAGAGGCAACCCAUGAAACUUGUUACCUUGAAUCAUUGAGAUCAAUCCACUCUUGAUCUCGAAAUUGUUGUUCUGGACAGGAGGUGGAACGAUGCCCUGUCUCUGUUGAUGGUUGCGUGGUGCAUCACCAUCACCAAUGUUCCUUGGUAUCCCAACUCCCUGAUUGUCGUGAUCUUGUUCUUCCAUAGCAGCUGGAUUGUGCUGUUCACAACCGUCUCUGUCUCUACGCUCUCUCAACUCACGAGCUAAACGAUUGAUGUUGUCUCUGUAGCUGAUGAGAUUGUCAGAACCUUUGGAACGAGUUUGCAUGCACGUGUUGAGUUGGUACUCGAGCUAGUGCCUGGAACACAAAAACAAGCAGUUGAAGAGAGUAGUUAGUAACCAAAGUAAAGAAAGAACUUGAUCUUAGUAAUUCUAAAAUCUUGAAUGAAACAAGUAGACACCCAAAUGGCAACGGCGCCAAAUUGAUACUAGGAUUUUACUAUCAAUUACCCUAAUAUACUUUCAUGUCAUUGCAGUAUAAGAGGUUAUCAAUCCAAUCAGGUGCUCUUACUAUCAAUCAAGAUAUGCUCAGAGAUAACUAAGUCAAGCCAAGCAGAAUAUUGUUUUGUUAUCUAGCAAUACUAAGCGAUCAUGCAUAAGUGAUAAAACUACAGAACAGGAGUGAUCAUGCAUAAAGAGAAAGAACUAUCAAUAUUAAGCAGCAAUAAAUAACAGGUAAAGAGAUAAGCAAUCAAAUGAGAUAAAAGGUCCUGAGGAUAGGGUAAUCGAUUAUAGCAGUCUCCUUAAUCUACUUAGGUGGUUAACAAUCCAAACAGGCUAUCCCUAGACAAUAGAUUCAACUACAGAUCAAUCCACUCUCGUGACAGAGAUCCUCAAGCAAUACCAGUUCCAGACCUAAUCAUCAUUAGCGAAAUCUAGCAAACCAGGCAAUAAGAUUCAAUCUAAUAUAGUCAAUAAACAUUCUAAACAUCCAAUCUCUUGGGCUAGAGUAUGUAAAUCUCUGGAGUAGUUGGUUCAGACAUUUCAUCGAACACCUGGUGGGUGUGGAAAUGUCUAGGUUCAAAUCCCAGUUGAUCAGAAAGGAAUAAGCACUAAGUACUACUAAUCCAGAAGGGAUUCAAGCAAUUCUACACUUAACCACCUAAAUAAACUAAGGAUUCCACACCUAAUCUAUCCCAUCCUCAAGAACCCUAAUCCACUACUCAAGAACACUGAAGAACAUCAUGCAUAAAAACCCAGAAAAUUGCACAAACCCAGAAAUCAUUGAAAAUCAAGUAUGUUAUAGAUGAGACAGAGAUCUACAACUUUGAAGAAGAAAGUAAUCGCAAAAACUCAAAGGAUCAAAAGUAAUUUGGAUUACAAAAGUUUGUAGAAAUAUUGUUCAGAGGAUAAAAGCGAGAUCCUUUGGGCAAAGCCCUAAGAGGUCUAUUUAUAGCAAAAGUAGAAAACCCUAGUACACAAAACGACAAAAUAGAAAGUCGGUUUAGGGUCUACUCGAGCUGGUACUCGAGUGGCUUGGUCGAGUAGUCCAUUCUUCAAAGGUUGCAUCUUGCUCGGGUAAGUCUCUUAGGUCCAGUUCGAGUAGCCUGUUCGAGUAGGUUGGUCGAGUAUGUCUUGGUCUUCUCUUCAGAAAUCUGCUCGAGUACACUGCUCUGGCUCUGCUCGAGUACACUGCUCGAGUACACUACUCUGGAACUGCUCUGGCACUGCUCUUGCACUGCUCGAGUACACUGCUCUGGCACUGCUCCUUAGUACCUGAAUGUACCAGAUACAACUCCAAAAUGCAAGAAUGCAUGCUAUGCUAAUGUAGAAUACUCUAAGUAUGCAAAGUGAUGCAAAAUGACUACAAAUGACAGUAAAUAAGAGUGAAUACUAAGCUAAAUGCAUAGCAAAUGUAUGCUAAAAAGAGGUAAAAUACAGAGAUAUCACAACCUCCAAAAGAUGCCCGAAAUAACCAAUCUCGAAACUGUUCAUGUUCCAUAGCACAAAUUUGCACCACUUUUCAGCAAUUACUUGGCCAGGAAGGAAUACACAUAACUCCUUGAUUUUAAU
rnacentral:lncRNA from 1 species